GCUCCUUUACUUAGAAUAAAAAUUAAAUACAAAAAGAAACAUCUCUCCUGCUCUCUCCUCUCCCGGCCCUCUCCUGAAUCGCCUCCCUCCGCUCCGCUAUUCUCUUUCACUCAUCUCUCUCGCACCUAUUACUCUUCUUCUUCGCUCAUCUCUCUUGCACCAACUGCUCUUCUGUCUCCCAUCUCUUGCCCCUUUCUGAAACCCUAAAUUGAUUAGGACAAUUAUUUGAGCAAAACCCUAAAACUGAUUAGAGUUUUAAUCGAUUCUGUUAAAGCUUUUAAUAGAGGUAAAGUACUGAUUAUAUAUAUUUCGAUUAUGUUUGACUUGUAUUGAUUUAUCGGGAUAAUUAAUGUGUUUGGUUUUUUGUAAUGAUAGAGAAUAAGAAUUUACUCUAAUGGUUUGGCAAGCUAGUGUUUCUUCAUCUCAGGUUGCGAAAGAGGAUAAAUAUCAGAUUGUUAGAGCAGAAAAAUGGAGAUUCUGGUAGGAUAUUGUUAUUCUCUGUCCAUACACUGACAAUAAGUUCAUCUCUGUCUAUCAAUUUAAAGGUCCAAUUGGUUUUUAUUCAUUUGAAUUGUCCUAGUUUAUGCCAUGAUAUUUCAGUUUCUAUGCUUAUAUUGUCUUGCACGUGCUAUUAUAAUCUGCUAGUAGUUUGUGUGUCAUAGUCGUAGUGUGUUUUUUGAACACUUGAACAGACUCUGUAGUUUUGUAUAUACUCGAACAGACUCUGUAGUUUACGGGAAGCCAAAGGUAUGGUGCAGUUUGGACACGAGACAACAUCGCAGAAUGGGAGCAACUAAGAGUCUCGGUUCCAAUGAUUUUAACACCUGGUCUUACUGGACUUGCAUUCUCAGGUUCAUACACUUUGUUUAAUCAGGGGUAAAGACUUAAGCUAGUCAUUUGAAUUUAUUAUCUCUCCCUCUAUAUACCUAUAUAUUUCAAGUGCUGAUGUUUGGGUUUUUUGGAAAUCCUAAGGCUGAGUUAUUACCUCUGAUACACAACUUCCAAGCAAUGUCUAGUACUCUUUGUUACAUUUGUCAUAGUUAUGUACAUCUAUGUUAGAUGAAGGAUCGUAACAGUAUGAGGAGGGUGUUAAUACUUAACAUGGUUGAUGGAUGUAGAUUAUGCUUCUGGCACAUAAUUGAAGUUUUGACUAGUAUUCAAUAUCUGCAAGCAUUACAGGUCAAGAGCAACAUUUCCAGUUUUCUAGCUUUGUAUAUCAUGAAAAUGAGAUGACUAUCUGGAGGCAUCUUCCUCCCUGGAAAUGGCAGCAAUAACAAUCGAGUAGAAGGAUGUGGCCACGCAACAAAAGUGAUACGGAGAGUAUAGGUGGGCAGCAGUUCACUCAUCCCAAUUAUUGCUCUACGCCCAUGCAAUUGAUGUCAUCAGAUGAAGCCAAGUGCUUGCAAGUUGGCAUGGAUUUAAGCUAAAUCCUGCAGAAUCAUCAAAGGCCGAAGAAUGCGCACAAGCCAUUAUGGAUCAUUUAUAAGAAAUUAUUAUAACUAUGACUUGCCUUGUAAAAAAAUGACAGAUUUUUUUAUUUUUCAUUCUUUUAUUUCUUUCUUAUUUAAUUUUAGUAAAUUGUAAUUAAGGAAAUUUUAAAUGUGAUUUUUGGUUUGAUA